GCAGCUGUGAGCUGUGAGUGAAGUGAAGGCUGAGGGCAAAGAGAGGGAAGAGGACCAGGAAGACCACAUUGAGGUUGACUGAAUCCUCGUCAAUCCAUGGUUGUCUUCUCCCGGAGAUAUUUUUUUUCAGCUCCUUGAGAGAGGCCACCACCACAUCAUGCUCCUGCAGCAUUUCCGGGUAGCGGGACACGGCGCGCUCAAUCCUGGCCGAGCGCCGC